UACGUAGGAGGCAAGCGUUGUCCGGAAUUACUGGGUGUAAAGCGCGUGUAGGCGGCAGGCCAAGUCUGUGGUGAAAUCGCUCGGCUCAACUGGGCGGGGUCCAUGGAAACUGGUCAGCUGGAGGACGGUAGAGGUGAGUGGAAUUCCCGGUGUAGUGGUGAAAUGCGUAGAGAUCGGGAGGAACACCGAUGGCGAAGGCAAUUCCCUGGGCCUGUACUGACGCUCAUGCACGAAAGCGUGGGGAGCAAACAGG
rnacentral:rRNA from 1 species